GCCCCGCUCCGCCCCCCGCGGCCCCGCGGCCCGCCCGCCGGUCCGCGCCUUCCCAGCGGCCCUGCCUUCCCGCUCCUCCGCGCCGGGCCCCUUCAGAACAAGCCCACCUUCCCCUCCCCGGCUCCCCUGAGCCCUCUGAGACCUGCGAACCACCGGCGGUGCCGAGGGGACACCGGUUCCCAUGGCGCUGAGGAGGGGACACCGGUCCCCAUGCACAGCCCGCGCUGCCCGGGGAGCUCAGGUCCGACUGAGCCUCGGUCGCUGAGCAUUGUCCAACUAUUCCGCAGAGAUGGUGGUUUCCUUCCUAACACCUAAAUCACACCUUGGCACGUUUGCAAAAGCUACAAACACGAGGAGACAGUUUCCUCUCUGUUGAUGACACAUCACUUUUACGGGUACAUCCCCUAGAUCAGAUGUUGCUAAAGACAAGCAGGUCUCAUUAUAUUCUCAAUUAUUUAGAAAGAAAUAUGAUGCAACUGACAGCAAUGAAAUCACUUCUGACUUCCAUCACAGUUGCAAAGGAGUCAUUCUUGCAAACCAGGUUCACAUCAAAUGAUGAACUUGUAGAGGAGCAGAAGUACCAAGAAGUGCCUUGGAAAUAAACCACAUUGCUUAACACCUGUCCCAAAUCUCCCUCGUCCUUCUUGCCGUGCGCUCUGUUUCCCACCAUGCAGACGACUCGCUGCAGGGAUGCCACACAACCCGGCUGGGGCGUAAAACUGUGCCCUGGGAAAUCCUACUGGUUAUUGCAACACGGCACAAGCUGCAAUGAUGGGAUCUCCCGCCAAACUGGCACCUGGUUCCAGGCUGCUGAAAAGCACCAUGAUGGCUCAAGGCCGGGACGUGAAUCCCCACAUUCCAUCUGAGCUGACACCGACCUCGGCUGCCCUCUCAGCCACAUCUAUUUCCCAUCUAGUUCCGAUCCAUUUCGCCUGAAAAACGAGGAUAACCCCACUUGCUCCCGGCCCGUAUAACCCAGUUGUGCACUUGCAAGGAAAACCAUCUGCCUGUGACACACCAGACAACUCCUCUGUUGUAUGUCCCACUCACAUUGUUUGCAUCUGAUUUCAUAAUCAGACCCACUGAAAUGGGAUGAAUCAUCUGAGAAAUAAAGCAUUACUAAAAAGGGUGGGGCCACAGCACUCAUAAAAGGCUUAGAAAAUGCUGCUGAAAAGGACUUUAACAUCGUGACUGUUGUUCCGCGACUUGCGCUGUACAUUAUUUUCACUGGGCAGUUGCUAGCUGCAGUGAAAAUAUUCUUAGCACUUAUUUCCUUGACAUAAAAUCCUUCUGCAAACGUUUUUCUUUGAAACACAGCUUAGUUUGGUAACUAUGUAAGAAAUAAAUAAACCAAGUCUGUUCCCUAA